rnacentral:rRNA from 1 species
AGGACGAACGCUGGCGGCGUGCUUAACACAUGCAAGUGGAGCGACGAACCAGGGCUUGCCCUGGGGCAGAGCCGCGAACGGGUGAGUAACACGUGGGUAACCUGCCCCGAUGAUUGGGACAACCCGAGGAAACUCGGGCUAAUACCGAAUGUGCCCUACGGCCUCAAGGCCGCUGGGGAAAGGAAGCUUCGGCCUCCGCAUCGGGAUGGGCCCGCGGCCCCAUUAGCUUGUUGGUGAGGUAACGGCUCACCAAGGCAACGAUGGGUAGCUGGUCUGAGAGGACGACCAGCCACACUGGGACUGAGACACGGCCCAGACACCUACGGGUGGCAGCAGUCGAGAAUUUUUGACAAUGGGGGAAACCCUGAUCGAGCGACGCCGCGUGGAGGAUGAAGGUCUUCGGGUUGUAAACUCCUGUCAUUUGGGAACAAGGCGUAUUUAUUAACUGUAAGUACGUUGAUAGUACCAGAAGAGGAAGGACGGCUAACUCUGUGCCAGCAGCCGC